rnacentral:rRNA from 1 species
CGUACAGUCAGUGAAUCAUCGAAUCUUUGAACGCACCUUGCACUUUAGGAGUCAAUUCUAAAGUAUACCUGUUUGAGUAUCAUUUACAUAUAUCCAAUUUUAUUGGGAAUUGGGAGUUCAGGGAGUAUACUGCCAGUCUCUUUAAAUGUAGAGGGUUUCAAGGAUAAGCGCGUCUUUAUCUUGAAUGAGGAUAUUUACUCUUGUAGUAAAGCAAUCAUAAAAGGAAGGAAAAGCGAUAUUCAUUAAAUUGAGCUCUAUAAAUCUCUAUUGUAUUUAUUUACAUUAGAAACUUGUACAAUUGUGAUCUCAAAUCAGGCAAGACUACCCGCUGAACUUAAGCAUAUCAAUAAGCGGAGG